rnacentral:tRNA from 1 species
GGAGGGCUAGUGAGUCAGUGCCAGAGAAUCUGCUUGGUAUGCAGAAGGUCCCCGGGUUCAGUCCCCGGCAACUCCA